CUGGCCACGCUGACCCCCACAACCCUGCCCCGGCCAUACUGAUCUCCUCAUGGGCUUUCCCUCCACCUGGAGAAGCCUCUCCUGACAGCCCCCACCCCCAUCUAGGCUGCUCUACCCUUCCCAGCUGAACUGAACUCGGCUGGGUUCUGCCAGCUCAGCCCUUGGGGCCUCAUGUCACAGCUCACCCCUCCCUGCGUCACCUGGCCGCCCCUUCUUGCCAUGCACCGCCCUUUGGGGACCUUGUCAUUUACUCCCUGCAAGCCCGUGUUUCCCUGUGCUGACCUCGGGACCCGUUGUCCUUGCUCGAUGCCUGCGGUCCCUGCUGAGCUGAGGCUCCAUCCUCCACCUGCGCCUGGAGCGCCUGGGCGCAGCCAGGCCGGGUGACGGCACGGCCAGAAGUCAUUACAAUCACCUGCCCUCCUCUCUCUCUUCCCAGCCCUUCUUGUUUCUCUUCUCUUUUUCUUUGUCUCUUUCUUUCUCUUUUUUGGCUGGUUUCCCUAAUGUUUAGCACGGAAUGUAACAUAAAAUGUG
rnacentral:lncRNA from 1 species